UAACGCGUGGGAAUCUGCCCUGGAGUGGGGGAUAACCCGGCGAAAGCCGGGGUAAUACCGAAAACGUCCCCGGGUGGAAGCAUCUGGGGAGAAAGAUUUAUCGCUCGAGGAGGGGCCCGCGUCGGAUUAGCUAGUUGGUGAGGUAACGGCUCACCAAGGCGAUGAUCCGUAGCUGGUCUGAGAGGAUGAUCAGCCCCACUGGGACUGAGACACGGCCCAGACUCCCACGGGAGGCAGCAGUGGGGAAUAUUGGACAAUGGGCGCAAGCCUGAUCCAGCAAUGCCGCGUGAGUGAUGAAGGCCUUAGGGUUGU
rnacentral:rRNA from 1 species